GGCUAAAGCACAUAACUGGUAAUCAGAAGGUUGCUGGUUCGAUCCCCACAGCCACCACCAUUGUGUCCUUGAGUAAGGCACUUAACUCCAGGUUGCUCCGGGGGGAUUGUCCCUGUAAUAAGUGCUCUGUAUAAUACAUUGGUACUCAGAAGGUUGCUGGUUUGAUCCCCACAGUCACCACCAUUGUGUCCUUGAGUAAGACACUUAACUCCAGGUUGCUCUGGGGGGAUUGUCCCUGUAAUAAGUGCUCUGUAUAAUACAUUGGUACUCAGAAGGUUGCUGGUUUGAUCCCCACAGUCACCACCAUUGUGUCCUUGAGUAAGACACUUAACUCCAGGUUGCUCCGGGGGGAUUGUCCCUGUAAUAAGUGCUCUGUAUAAUACAUUGGUACUCAGAAGGUUGCUGGUUUGAUCCCCACAGUCACCACCAUUGUGUCCUUGAGUAAGGCACUUAACUCCAGGUUGCUCCGGGGGGGAUUGUCCCUGUAAUAA